rnacentral:rRNA from 1 species
UACGUAGGGUGCGAGCGUUAAUCGGAAUUACUGGGCGUAAAGCGUGCGCAGGCGGUGAUGUAAGACCGAUGUGAAAUCCCCGGGCCUUAACCUGGGAACUGCAUUGGUGACUGCAUUGCUGGAGUAUGGCAGAGGGGGGUGGAAUUCCACGUGUAGCAGUGAAAUGCGUAGAGAUGUGGAGGAACACCGAUGGCGAAGGCAGCCCCCUGGGCCAAUACUGACGCUCAUGCACGAAAGCGUGGGGAGCAAACAGG